CCUACGGGAGGCAGCAGUGGGGAAUAGUGGGCAAUGGGCGCAAGCCUGACCCAGCAACGCCGCGUGAAGGAAGAAGGCUUUCGGGUUGUAAACUUCUUUGAAGAGGGAAGAGAAGAAGACGGUACGUCUCGAAUAAGCCACGGCUAACUACGUGCCAGCAGCCGCGGUAAUACGGAGGUGGCAAGCGUUGUGCGGAUUUACGGGGCGUACCGGGCGUGCAGCCGGGAAGACAAGUCAGAUGUGAAAUCCCGCGGCUCACCCGCGGAACUGCAUUUGAAACUGUUUUUCUUGAGUACCGGAGAGGUCAUCGGAAUUCCUUGUGUAGCGGUGAAAUGCGUAGAUAUCAGGAAGAACACCAGUGGCGAAGGCGGCUGACUGGACGGCAACUGACGGUGAGGCGCGAAAGCGUGGGGAGCAAACAGGAUUAGAUACCCGAGUAGUC
rnacentral:rRNA from 1 species